CAAGUCGAACGCGAAAGGGACUUCGGUCCUGAGUAAAGUGGCGGCACGGGUGAGUAACGCGUAGAUAACCUGUCUUCAUGUCUGGAAUAAUACGCCGAAAGGGGUACUAAUACCGGAUAUUCCUGCUUUUCAUAAGUUAUGCAAGCAAAGGUGGCCUCUGCAUAUGCUACUGCAUGAAGAGGGGUCUGCGUACCAUUAGCUAGUAGGUGGGGUAAUGGCCUACCUAGGCGACGAUGGUUAGCGGGUCUGAGAGGAUGAUCCGCCACACUGGCACUGGAACACGGGCCAGACUCCUACGGGAGGCAGCAGUGAGGAAUAUUGCGCAAUGGGGGAAACCCUGACGCAGCGACGCCGCGUGAGUGAAGGAAGGCCUUCGGGUCGUAAAGCUCUGUCAAGAGGAAAGAAGUGUACAAUGGCUAAUACCUGUUGUAUUUGACGGUACCUCUAAAGGAAGCACCGGCUAACUCCGUGCCAGCAGCGGC
rnacentral:rRNA from 1 species